UACGUAGGGACCAAGCGUUGUUCGGAUUUACUGGGCGUAAAGGGCGCGUAGGCGGCCACCGCAAGUCAAUUGUGAAAUCUCCGGGCUUAACUCGGAAAGGUCAACUGAUACUGUGCGGCUAGAGUGCGGAAGGGGCAACUGGAAUUCUUGGUGUAGCGGUGAAAUGCGUAGAUAUUGGGAGGAACACCAGUGGCGAAGGCGGGUCUCUGGGCCGUAACUGACGCUGAGGAGCGAAAGCAUGGGGAGCGAACAGG
rnacentral:rRNA from 1 species